rnacentral:rRNA from 1 species
UCGACGGCAGCACGGGUGCUUGCACCUGGUGGCGAGUGGCGAACGGGUGAGUAAUGCGUCGGAACGUACCGAGUAAUGGGGGAUAACGCAGCGAAAGUUGUGCUAAUACCGCAUACGCCCUGAGGGGGAAAGUGGGGGACCGCAAGGCCUCACGUUAUUCGAGCGGCCGACGUCUGAUUAGCUAGUUGGUGGGGUAAAGGCCUACCAAGGCGACGAUCAGUAGCGGGUCUGAGAGGAUGAUCCGCCACACUGGGACUGAGACACGGCCCAGACUCCUACGGGAGGCAGCAGUGGGGAAUUUUGGACAAUGGGGGCAACCCUGAUCCAGCCAUUCCGCGUGAGUGAAGAAGGCCUUCGGGUUGUAAAGCUCUUUCAGCUGGAACGAAACGGUACGCGCUAACAUCGUGUGCUAAUGACGGUACCGGCAGAAGAAGCACCGGCUAACUACGUGCCAGCAGCCGCGGUAAUACGUAGGGUGCGAGCGUUAAUCGGAAUUACUGGGCGUAAAGCGUGCGCAGGCGGAUUGUUAAGCAAGACGUGAAAUCCCCGGGCUUAACCUGGGAAUGGCGUUUUGAACUGGCAGUCUAGAGUGCGUCAGAGGGGGGUGGAAUUCCACGUGUAGCAGUGAAAUGCGUAGAGAUGUGGAGGAACACCGAUGGCGAAGGCAGCCCCCUGGGAUGACACUGACGCUCAUGUACGAAAGCGUGGGUAGCAAACAGGAUUAGAUACCCUGGUAGUCCACGCCCUAAACGAUGUCAACUGGUUGUUGGGGGAGUGAAAUCCCUU